UGCGUAGGUGGACUGAGCAAGUCGUAGAUGAAAUCCCCGGGCUCAACUCGGGAACUGUCUCCGAAACUGCUUAGCUUGAGGAUGGUUGAGGAAAGCGGAAUUCCCGGUGGAGCGGUGAAAUGCGUAGAUAUUGGGAAGAACACCAGUGGCGGAAGGCGGCUACCUGAACCGGAACUGACGCUGAGGCGCGAAAGCUAGGGGAGCGAAUG
rnacentral:rRNA from 1 species